GAUGCUCAAAAUUAAAAAAAAAUAAAUCAAAAUAUUUUUUAGCUACUUUUGUCAAAAAGCUAAAUAUUUUGUAAGGUCUCAAUAUGCAUGUCGGCCCUCUCUUUAUCACGCUGUAACACACCAUCUCUUGGGUUUUGCCGUGACAGUAGGUAACAAGGCUUCCAGGCUCUCUUCAAUGCCUCCAAGCUCCCCUUUCUCCAAACACAAAAGGAAGAUGAAAACUACAAAUCCCCAUCUGCCCACCCUACAGUUCCUGGGAAGAGACAGUCCUCAAAUUGUUCCUGCUUAGACCCCUGAAGCUUGGAGAAGGAGAUGGGGACAAGUGUGGCAGCGGGAUGAUGGGGACCCUGCUUCCUGCGCUGUGUGGCUUGCGUCUUGCACCGACAGCACUGGUGACAGCGCCAGUCUCACUCUUGGCCAGUGGCAAACAUUCCCAUCUCUUUUGUUUCUCCAUUCCUCAGCCGUUUAGAAUAGGAAUUAAUCAAUGUCUCGAAAUGGGAUGUUUCAAAAUGUUACAUUAAAGCUCAAUUCCACCAUUGAAAAUAUUUGUUAUAUGUUUUUCUUAUUAUAUACAUUUACUAGCCCUAAACCAAAUCUAACUGUAUUUUGUACAACACUUAGUACACAAUCUAUUUUAACAGAACUCUAAGACAAACUUUCAAUGAUUAGCAAACUUUAUGAUGUAUAACCUACUAAUUUUAUUGAAUGGAUUUUCUUUCAAAAUAAAUUAUGUAAUUACAUCUUUUUAAAUCAUAUACAUUUUUAAAACUUCUAUUUUCAUUUUAAACUCAAUUAUAAAAUAUUAUCAUAAUAAUGUACAUUGUACCUGAAAAGCCCUAACCUCAGCAUGAUAUAAUUCAUCCAUAUAACCCAAAAUACUUGUACUCCCUAAAUCUAUUGAAAUAAAAA